rnacentral:rRNA from 1 species
CCCGCACAAGCGGAGGAGCAUGUGGUUUAAUUCGAUGAUACGCGAGGAACCUUACCGUGGCUUGAAAGUUAGUGACAUUCUGUGAAAGCAGAACUUCCGCAAGGACACGAAACUAGGUGCUGCAUGGCUGUCGUCAGCUCGUGCCGUGAGGUGUUGGGUUAAGUCCCGUAACGAGCGCAACCCCUAUCAUUAGUUGCCAUCAGGUCAUGCGUGGGGACUCUAAUGAGACUGCCCGCGCAAGCGGUGAGGAAGGUGGGGACGACGUCAAGUCAUCACGGCCCUUACGUCCAGGGCUACACACGUGCUACAAUGGUAGAUACAGCAGGUUGCCACAUGGUAACAUGGAGCUAAUCCCAAAAGUCUAUCUCAGUUCGGAUUGAGGUCUGCAACUCGACCUCAUGAAGCUGGAUUCGCUAGUAAUCGAAAAUCAGCAAUGUUUCGGUGAAUACGUUCCCGGGCCUU